GUCUUUUUGAAAUAAUAAUUUAAAGUCUAAUCUGCCCACUGAUAGUUAUAUUAAAGGGCUGCAGUAUUUUGACUGUACAAAGGUAGCAUAAUCAUUAGUCUUUUAAUUGGUGACUUGUAUGAAUGAUUGGAUGAAAUAUAAGCUGUUUCUUAUUUAUUUAUAGAAUUUAAUUUUUUCAUUAAAAAGUGAAAAUAAAUUUAAAAGACGAGAAGACCCCAUAGAGUUUUAUAUAUGAAAUAAUUUAAUAAUUAUGUUUAAGAGAAUUAAUUAAAAUUAUUUAUUAUAUUUUAUUGGGGUGAUAAAAAAAUUAAAAAAACUUUUUUAUAAUUUUUCCAUAAAUAAGUGAAUAAAUGAUCCAUUAUUAUUGAUUAAAAGAAAAAAUUACCUUGGGGAUAACAGCGUAAUUUUUUCUUUUAGUUCAAAUAGGAGAAAGAGUUUGCGACCUCGAUGUUGGAUUAAGAUAAAAUUUAAAUGCAAAAGUUUAAAAUUUUGAUCUGUUCGAUCAUUAAAAUCUUACAUGAUCUGAGUUCAAACCGGUGUAAGCCAGGUUGGUUUCUAUCUUUAAAUAAAUUAAAUAUUUUAGUACGAAAGGAUUGAAUAUUUAAAAUAAUUUUUAAUUUUAGAAUUUUAUUAAUUUGAUUAUAGAAUUAAAAUUUUUAUUUUAUUAAUAUAU
rnacentral:rRNA from 1 species